rnacentral:rRNA from 1 species
GACGAACGCUGGCGGCGUGCCUAAUACAUGCAAGUCGAACGCAGUGGGGACGGGUGAGUAACACGUGGUUAACCUCCCAUCAGAGGGGAUAACACUUGGAAACAGGUGCUAAACCGAUACUGAUGGAUGAACCCGCGGUGCAUUAGCUAGUUGGUGAGGUAACGGCUCACCAAGGCCACGAUGCAUAGCGGACCUGCGAGGGUGAUCGCCAACACUGCGACUGAGACACAGCCCAGACCCCUACGGGAGGCAGCAGUAGGGGAUCUUCGGCAAUGGACGGAAGUCUGACCGAGCGACGCCGCGUGAGUGAAGAAGGUUUUCGGAUCGUAAAACUCUGUUGUUAGAGAAGGGGUAUCUAACCAGAGAGCCAAGGCUAACUCCGUGCCAGCAGCCGCGGUAAUAC